rnacentral:rRNA from 1 species
UUUACGGAGAGUUUGAUCCUGGCUCAGGACGAACGCUGGCGGCGUGCUUAACACAUGCAAGUCGAACGAUGAUGCCCAGCUUGCUGGGUGGAUUAGUGGCGAACGGGUGAGUAACACGUGAGUAACCUGCCCUUGACUCUGGGAUAAGCGCUGGAAACGGCGUCUAAUACCGGAUACGACCUGCCCCGGCAUCGGGUGUGGGUGGAAAGUUUUUCGGUCAAGGAUGGACUCGCGGCCUAUCAGCUUGUUGGUGAGGUAAUGGCUCACCAAGGCGACGACGGGUAGCCGGCCUGAGAGGGUGACCGGCCACACUGGGACUGAGACACGGCCCAGACUCCUACGGGAGGCAGCAGUGGGGAAUAUUGCACAAUGGGCGAAAGCCUGAUGCAGCAACGCCGCGUGGGGGAUGACGGCCUUCGGGUUGUAAACCUCUUUUAGUAGGGAAGAAGGACUUCGGUUUGACGGUACCUGCAGAAAAAGCACCGGCUAACUACGUGCCAGCAGCCGCGGUAAUACGUAGGGUGCAAGCGUUGUCCGGAAUUAUUGGGCGUAAAGAGCUUGUAGGCGGUUUGUCGCGUCUGCUGUGAAAACCCGAGGCUCAACCUCGGGCCUGCAGUGGGUACGGGCAGACUAGAGUGCGGUAGGGGAGAAUGGAAUUCCUGGUGUAGCGGUGGAAUGCGCAGAUAUCAGGAGGAACACCGAUGGCGAAGGCAGUUCUCUGGGCCGUAACUGACGCUGAGGAGCGAAAGCAUGGGGAGCGAACAGGAUUAGAUACCCUGGUAGUCCAUGCCGUAAACGUUGGGCGCUAGAUGUGGGGACCUUUCCACGGUUUCCGUGUCGCAGCUAACGCAUUAAGCGCCCCGCCUGGGGAGUACGGCCGCAAGGCUAAAACUCAAAGGAAUUGACGGGGGCCCGCACAAGCGGCGGAGCAUGCGGAUUAAUUCGAUGCAACGCGAAGAACCUUACCAAGGCUUGACAUAUACCGGAAACUUCCAGAAAUGGUUGCCCCGCAAGGUCGGUAUACAGGUGGUGCAUGGUUGUCGUCAGCUCGUGUCGUGAGAUGUUGGGUUAAGUCCCGCAACGAGCGCAACCCUCGUUCUAUGUUGCCAGCACGUCAUGGUGGGAACUCAUAGGAGACUGCCGGGGUCAACUCGGAGGAAGGUGGGGAUGACGUCAAAUCAUCAUGCCCCUUAUGUCUUGGGCUUCACGCAUGCUACAAUGGCCGGUACAAAGGGCUGCGAUACCGUAAGGUGGAGCGAAUCCCAAAAAGCCGGUCUCAGUUCGGAUUGAGGUCUGCAACUCGACCUCAUGAAGUCGGAGUCGCUAGUAAUCGCAGAUCAGCAACGCUGCGGUGAAUACGUUCCCGGGCCUUGUACACACCGCCCGUCAAGUCAUGAAAGUCGGUAACACCCGAAGCCAGUGGCCUAACCGCAAGGGGGGAGCUGUCGAAGGUGGGAUCGGUGAUUAGGACUAAGUCGUAACAAGGUAGCCGUACCGGAAGGUGCGGCUGGAUCACCUCCUUU